GCCGACCCGGCGAGCCGGUCUUGUUUCGGCCUUUGUGGGUCGUUCUUGUUGGGUUCUGGCUUCCGAAGGGGUUGGAGGCCUCAGCCCGGAGCCCCGGGAGGAGGGAAUCCUCUGCUGGCUCCGGGGGCCGCGGGUGAGCGAGCCUGUGCUCCGGACGCUGGGCGACGGGAUAUUAGGGCGUUCUGGCGGCCUGGGGCCCUCGGGCCGGCCCAGGCGGGAGCAGGGCGCCCUGCGGUCAUCCCCGCCCAGAUCCACCCAGGAAGAAACUUUCCACUGGAGAUCUUGCUUGAAGCACUGACACAGCUUUUGCAAGGCUAUGAUGGCAUCUACUUGGGCUAUCCAGGCCCACAGGAACCAGGAUGAACUUUUGGAAGUAAAGAUAGAGGAGGAGGAGCAGAAGGAGGAGAAUUAUAAGUAUACCACGAGACAGGAUCAGAAGCUGCAGAAGAACAACACCCAUAGCAGAGAGGUCUUUCGACAGUACUUCAGGCAGUUCUGCUACCAGGAAACAUCUGGACCCCGUGAGGCUUUGAGUCGACUCCGGGAACUUUGCCAUCAGUGGCUGAGGCCGGAGACCCACACCAAAGAGCAGAUCCUGGAGCUGCUGGUGCUGGAACAAUUCUUGACGAUCCUGCCUGAGGAGCUGCAAGCCUGGGUGCAGGAACAGCAUCCAGAGAGUGGGGAAGAGGUGGUGACUGUGCUGGAGGAUUUAGAGAGAGAGUUGGACGAGCCAGGAUAUCAGGUCUCAGACCACGCUGAGGAACAGGAAAUGUUCUUGCAGGAGAUGGCACCUCUAGGAAGAGAACAAGAACCCAGUAUGACCCUCCAGUGUGUGAAAGCCCAGCUAAAGUGUGAAUCUCCAGAACUUGAAGCCCAACAGAAGCAAGUUUCAGAUAUUGAGACUGGAAAUGAGUACAGGAAUUUAACUUUAAAGCAAGAAGUUUCUGAAGAAAUGGAACCAUAUGGGACUAUAUCUAGCAAAUUUGAAAAUGAAAUGUCCCAGUCUAUUAGAUAUGAAAAAACCUAUGAAUCUGAAGAAAAAACAGAAGAGCCUUCUGGACAUUCUAGGGAAGAUAAACAACCUAUAUGUGAUGAAAAUGGAGUAAGUUUGACUGAGAACUCAGGCCUUACUGAACACCAGAGAAUUUGUCCAGGAGAAAAACCUUACGAAUGUGAUGACUGUGGAAAAGCUUUUAGUCAGCACUCACGCCUCAUAGAACAUCAGAGGAUCCAUACUGGAGACAGGCCCUACAAAUGCGAAGAAUGUGGAAAAACUUUCCGUGGGAGAACUGUGCUUAUUCGGCACAAAAUAAUACACACUGGAGAGAAACCAUAUAAAUGUAAUGAGUGUAGCAAAGCCUUUGGCCGGUGGUCAGCUCUUAAUCAACAUCAGAGGCUUCACACAGGAGAGAAACACUACCACUGUAAUGAAUGCGGCAAAGCCUUUAGCCAGAAAGCAGGCCUCUUUCACCAUCUCAAAAUCCACACAAGAGACAAACCAUAUCAUUGUACUCAGUGUAAUAAAAGUUUUAGUCGGCGUUCAAUACUUACUCAGCAUCAAGGAGUUCAUACUGGGGCAAAGCCAUAUGAGUGCAAUGAGUGUGGAAAAGCCUUUGUUUAUAACUCAUCCCUUGUUUCCCAUCAGGAGACUCACCACAAAGAAAAAUGCUAUCAGUGUAAGGAAUGUGGGAAAUCCUUCAGUCAGAGUGGCCUUAUUCAACAUCAGAGAAUCCACACUGGGGAGAAACCUUACAAGUGUGAUGUUUGUGGAAAAGCCUUUAUUCAGAGGACAAGUCUUAUAGGACAUCAGCGAAUUCACACUGGAGAGAGACCCUAUAAAUGUGACAAGUGUGGGAAGGCUUUCACUCAAAGAUCAGUCCUCACAGAACAUCAGCGAAUCCACACUGGAGAGAGGCCCUACAAGUGCAAUGAGUGUGGGAAUGCCUUCCGAGGAAUCACCAGCCUCAUUCAGCAUCAGAGAAUCCACACUGGGGAGAAACCCUACCAAUGUGAUGAAUGUGGCAAAGCCUUCAGACAGAGGAAGAAGACUAGCUACAGGGAAAUACUUCUGAAAAAUCAGUGUGAACCCCAAGCUGGAGUGAAUCUUCUCCUCAGCUCUCUCAUUCCAGAAUGGCAGUCCUCUUGCAGGAAAGCUCUCUAAUAGUGACUGAUGGUACAGGAACAGGGAUGUGCUGUGCCAAGAAUCAGGCUGGCAAAGAAAUCACAGACCUUUCUUCAAACUUUAAGUUGUUACUAUCAGGAGAUAAAGAUCUGGACCUCACAGGGCUGUCAGAAGACUCAGGAAGCUCUGCCCACAAUUGCUGAGACUAGAAAUACAGACCAAGGAGCAGAUGUUGAAGCAGGUCCUGACCCCUGCCUGGAGAGCUGCAGACCUAGGUAGGAUAAUAUCAUCUAGAAUGUGGAGAAGAGGCAUCGGUCAUGCUGGAGAAGUUGAAGAGACAGCUUGAAGGACACACCAUCAGAUGAUGUUACUGAGAAUGAAAAUAAGGACUUGUCUCCAACACAAAAAAACUGUGAAGAUGCUAAAUCAUGUUGGGGGAUCUCUAUAGAACUGCAUUAUCAAUGCAAUAAGUGUAGUAAAAACUUUACUUACUGGUGAGUCAUUACUCAGCAUUAGGGAGUCCACAUGGAAGAGAAUCUCUCUGAGAGCAACAAGUUUGGAAAGGCUUUUGUUUAUAACGGAUCCCUCUUUUGCCACCAGCAGAUCACCACAAGGAAAAAUGCUUAUCAGUAUAAGGAAUGUGGGAAAGCUUUCAGCUAUAGUGGCCUUUUUUGACAUCAGAGAAUCCACAUAAGCCAGAGACUGCAUAAAUGUGGUGAGUGUGAGGAGGCCUUCAUUCAGUGUGGAAAUCUUGUAGAACGUUAUGUGAAGGAAAUAGGAAGGCCACCCAGAAGUCAGGACUGACUGUGCACCAGAGCAUCUACAGAGGAGAGAGAUCUUAUAAACAUGAUGAAUGUGGAAAUACUUUCCAUGGAAUCACCAGCUUUGUUCAGCAUUGGAGAAUUCACACUCAAGAGAACCCUGACAGUGUGAUGUGUAUGGAAAAUUCUUCAGAUAAGAGUUUGGAUCUUGGUAAACAUCAGCAAAUCCAUAUUAGAGAGGCUCUUAUAAAUGAGAGGAUUGUGGGAAGUUAUAUAGAUAGAGAUCAAGCCUCACCUACAGUCUCUCCACAGUAUUGGAAAAUUAAUAUAAUUAACGUAAAUGGGCAGUUGUAUGGUGAAGAAGUAUUCUAAAUUGCCCAUUUUAGCCAGUAAAAAUAUUCAAUGAGUGUCUCAGGUCAAGAAAAGGAAAGGUCAGAAGUUUUUUCGAUUCCUAGAGGAGUCUAUAUAUGUAAGCAACCAGGACUUUUGAAAUAAACUCUUUCUCUGCAUCCCUGGACUUGUGAUCCUGUCUCCUGGAUGAUUAUCUGUGUAUUGAAGAUAUGUUAUUUCCCCAUGCCUGCUCUAAUCUCAUAUCUUAAAUUCAUUCAACAAAUGUAGACUGUAGUAAUAUUGUCUUACUGUGUUAUAAAUAUAUUUUAUUGAUGGGCUAAAUAGGCAUGUAUGAGUACCCUGGGACUCAAAAAUCACAUUUAUAUGGUUUCAGUAAAUGUAAAGAAAGGAACCACAUCGUUGAAUUGUUGGAUACUUUCCCAGAUUUGGGACUGCCUCUGUGUUCUCCAACACAAGGCUAUAUACGUGUCCUUCAGAGAAUAUAUAUUUUCCAGCUUUGGUCUGAUUAUUUUUUUAAGACAGAAAAAGAUACUUCACAUAUAACCUAUUGACAGAUAAUGCUAGAGAUAUUUUCCCUUAUAGAUAACACAGAAUAUAAUCUUGUGAAGGCUGGUACUUUAAGUGACUUGCUGGUUAUCCUUUUCAGUUCUAAAACCUACAGGCUAGAAGAGGAAAGAAUCUUUAGAAGCCCUGCGGCAAGUUGGUAAUACAGCCCAAUCUCUAGGAGAAUAAGGCUUACAUAUUUUAUAGUAGCUCACUAAAUACAGGAACACAGAUUUCAGAACUUUGCAAUGAUUCUUUGGAUCUGCUGUGCAUCAUUAGAUUCUUUUGACAAGGUAUUAUAGUCCCUAUUUUAAAAGAUGGACUGCAUUUUCUAGAGGGUGUUUUCAGCAUCUAUGGAAAUCACGUUUCUUUUCCUUAACGUUGUUAUUGCCUUGCAUCAUUUGAAAAUGUUUCUUAAUACUGAGCCAACUUUGCAUUCCUGGAAUUAAUCCCAUUUAGUCAUGAUGUUUUGUUAAUGAGUUCUACUUGCUAUUUUAUUUAGUACAUUUUUCUUCAAUAUUUAUGUAAAAUUGGUCCAAUUUUCUUUUUUUGUACUAUAUUUUUCAGGUUUAGGUUUCAGUAUUUUAUUUGCAUCAUAAAAAGAGUUAAAUUCUUGUUCAUUUUUAAUGCUCUAGAACAAUUUAUAUAGGCUUGGAAUUAGCUGGUCUUUGAAGGUUGAAUUCUGACAUAAAACCUGGGCUGAGUGCUUUUUUGUGGAAUAAUUCCUGGGUAACUUUCUCUCUUUCUUUUACAGAAAUGGUCUAUUAAGCCUUUCUAUUUAUAAGGGGGUCAAUUUUGGUAAUCUGUUAUCUGCCUAGAAAAUUAUCAUCUAGAUUUUCAAAUUAUUAUUUCACCUAGAUUUUCAAAUUACUUCCCUAGAAUCUGCAAUAUAAUCUAUUAUGACUUUUUAAAAAGCUUUAUUGAGGGAAAUUGAUAUACAGUAAACUGCUAAGUGUACAAUUGUACAUGAUAAGUUUUAACAUGUGCACAGCUGUGAAAUAAUCACUACAAAAUAAUGCACAUCUCUAUCACCCCAAAAGGUUUCCCCAUGUUCCUUGAUAAUUCCUCCCUCCCACCCUUCCCUGCACACUGCCCCCAUAUCCAACCUCUGCUCUGCUUUCUGUUGCUAUAAAUUUAGUUUGCAUUUUCUAGAAUUGUGUAUGAAUGGAACCAUACAGUAUGUUCUAUUUUUGGUCUGACUUCUUUCAUUCAGC